AUCUAUCUAUCUAUCUAUCUAUCUAUCUAUCUAUCUAUCUAUCUAUCUAUCUAUCUAUCUAUCUAUCUAUCUAUCCCUAACAGUUUAAACCGAAUACUAAAACUGUGGUUGUUUGUUUGUUUUUUGUAUAUUUGUUUGCAGGCAUGCAUGAUGGGAAUGUAAAUACUGCCACGGACAGUGGAACAGUGGCUGCUGUGGUCAUUGGUGCUGUGGUUUUGUUAGGUGUAAUUAUAGGUUUUAUCCUAUUGCACAAGUUUAACAUGAGAAGAAAAGGCUCAUAUGACACCAGAGAAGACCAGAAGCCGGGGUUAUUACACUUCCAAAAUCUUUAGAUUGCCUGCCUCACCCAGGUAUCUGUAUAAAACCAUCAAAAUACACCAGAGACAUAUUUAACCAUUUUUCUGUCUGUAAGUUUAGGUUGUUAAUAUUAGUAUUGCUAGUGUUGUAUCGAAGCCUAAAAAAGAAUGAUGCAUCAUUUCCCUUUUUGCAUUACUUUGUGAAUGAAGGUCAACUUAAUGUUUUGUUUUUUUGCUGUUUUUUUACACUAGUUCACAUGGAAUUUCACCUUUAUGAAAAGGCCCAAGGAUGUACCAUCAAACUGUAACAGUGCCUCUCUGAGUUGACGGGGAAAGACAACUUACUUUCAUUGUUGCCGCAGUUCAUUUGGCAGAUAAUCCACCCUGCUGAGCUUACAUAGUUAAAGUAUCAAACUUGGAUUGCCUUUUGUAAUAUUAUAUUUGAUUUUUGCAUUAUUUUAAAAGACAUUUGUAAAUAUUUUAUUGUACUUUAUUAUUGCUGCUUAUAUAUUAUUUAUGUUAUAAAACAGAGUAAAUACAAUAAUGUUGUUUUCUUGUUGUUCUUGCGAAAACAUUUUUUUGUUUGCAGCUUUUGAUCAAUUUUACCACCAUAACUUUACAUGUCAUGUUAUAUGUUAAUGUGUUGUUUCAUUUGGCCAGAAGAAAGGAGGUUAGAAAGGGAUGCAGUGCAUACAGUGUGGUUAAUUCAGUCAGUAGAAUGAAGUGGUGACUUCUAAAGAUACAAUCAGCUGCAUUCUUUGCCUCCUGACUUUCUUUUCAUCAUUGUCUAUUGUUGAGAUCUAAGCUGCGGAAAAAAAGAGUAAACUGCACUCCCAUGAGAAAAGGGCUGUGUAGUUUUUUUUUUCAUUAUGUUCUUUAGUUUUUUCCUCUUUGAUCAGGCAAGAUUUGGCUCUAUUAAAUAUGAAAGGAAUUUCCAAGACCAAGGAGCAAAAUUGAUAAAAAAUAUAACUGAAUGGGUUCAUUGAACGGAUUGAGAAGCUAUUGUGAAAAUGAAAAUAAUCUACUAGAUAAGAGAAAGAUUUUAUAACCUAAUUUUUGUUGUGCAUGCUACUAUUAUGCAGGUUAAAGAACAUGAUGAAGUCUUCAUCACACCUUAAAAUGUAAAAGUUUCUCUCCUAGGAGGAGAGCCUCAGUGAAUGCAUUCACUGUCAUGUCAACAGAUUAGCACAAAGCCAUUAUGCUGACAAGGGUGUGGAUCCAUACAGAGACAAGCCCAAAAUAAAAUGUGAUGAUGACUGUUUCAUUG